UAUAAUAAUGCGCGCUAAUUAAAAUGUACAUGGAAAAAUAUAAAUAAUCUACUUACAUGCAGCGUCCCUUGUCCCUUCUGACUAUAGCUGCACCAGCUUUUAUUUAUUAUUUUUAGCUUAUCACUAUAUUUUUUUUCAAAUUUUAAUUUUUUGUCUUGUUCUUUUUAAGUAGUGGGGGCCAAAAGAUUCUCGCUUGUUAGUCAUAAUUUAAUGGAAUAUUUUUUGUAAUUAAGUAUAUAAAAAUAAAUGAUAUAUGUGUGUGGUGACACACACUCGCGAAAUAUUGUCGAACAGAAUAAUAAAUAUUUGUAUCAAUUAUUGUCUCUGCGAGUAAGGUUAGCCCAUGGCCAUAGCUUUUCAUAUAAAGGAAACUUAACUUCAUUCCGAGCAAGCAACGCGCGCGCUUUUCCGAAUCUCCCGCCGACCUUUCCCUGAUGGCGUGGACCCUUCAGCCAACCUGAGAAGACCGAUCGGCGCGCGCCACCUCAGGGCCCAAUCAGACCCACGGUCGAGCCUCGAAGCCGGCUCUCCGUGCCUGAGAGCCUCAGACGAGCGACGCCCGAAACGCAGACAACACCCUGUCCUAUCUUCAGCCCAUUCGGUUAAUGGCGACCACGUUUUACUAAAUUCCUAAUUGACCGAUUUGGUGUCAGGGUGCGGGGUGAUUUUUUUUUCCAAUUAAUCACCUCCGGUACGGCCUCACAUUCCUCGUCCACCAGCGGCGCAAACCAGAAAGGAACCUCAACGAACACAGGAAGGCCAGUGACCAACAAGCGUCCAUAGAAAAGGCAUCCACCCAGCGGCGUUGGCUUCUGCAGGGCCAGCGCUUAGCGGAUUCAGUGUCCAGCAUCGAGACAAAACGAGACGAUCAUAGGCGAACGCUCACCUCUUCGAGAUUGCGCCGCGACGUCAUUCUCGGCGCUGCACGGUUUUAGAAGAUGAGCUGUUACUGAUAAGUAUACCCGACUUUUACUUGGAAACUUUAAUUCAAGCAAAAGUAAAGGCAGACUGUCAUUGGGAAAGGGUAGCAGUCAAGUUAAAAUUAAGGGAAAGCUCUACGGUGUGAGCAUUUAAUUACAAAAGCUGUACAAAAGCUUGGAUAAAAGGUGCCAAUUUAUUUUAUUGUUGUGGCUAUUUAAAACUUUUGAAGGAAUUGCACAUUUUAAUUUUGUAUUAUAUAAGUGUAUAAAAAAAUAACAACUUUCAUGAUUGUUUCACCAUUGUAUAUAAAUGUACUCUGAAAACAAAUGCAAAGCAAAACCUCCACCAUAAGGCUGCACCUGAAUGGCAAUCGAAAAGUGACAUCUUUACACAAUUGUUGUGAAUCCCUCCCUUUUGCCAGUACUCCAGUUUUCAGCAGAUGGGAGCAUUUCAUUGCUCAGGUGUACAUCACUCACCGACAGCAGACCUCUCCAGCCUCUGCCCAGCCAGGACUGCAGAUGUCUCGCUGCCAACAGCAUCAGAAUUCGCCGUCCACUCCGUGGCAGAUAAAAGCCACCUUGCUCUGCGAGUUGUCCGACUCCACCUUCAGCUGGUCUGCAAGAUGGGUCGACAAACGACCAGUCAUGGCGCCCUCGACGGAACUUCAGCACUGACUAGGACUGACACAAGGCCAGUGACAGUCCAAGUUGGUCUCACCACUACUGCAAGAAAUAAUCAGUCAGCAUUGUCGACAAAAGCAGACAAGAGCAACACACACCUGCGCAGCACAAGUACCACCGUCCACUGUCCGGACCACAAGACCCACUUCCAGUGGCAGCCCAAGCGCAACAUCCAGUUCCAUCAGUGGACCAAGUUGGAAGCCAGCCGCUCCGCAAGAAGAAACACAACUAGCCCUCGGCAGGAGAAGAACCGACAUCUUCGUCUCACUCUGAAAUUUUUUUUUAAUGAAGUUAAAUUCAAAUUGGGAAAAUUGUAAAAUUUAAAAUUGAAAAUAUUAUAACAUGUUUAGAUUUAAGUCCAACAGAAGAAAAUGAAACAGAAUGUUGAUUAAUUGAAAUCGUAAAUUAAAAUGUGUUCUAAAAUGUUUAAAAAUGUGUGUCAAACUGAGCUGUUUUGUCCACGGGAAAAAUUUUUUUAAACUAAAAUGAAACGAAAAUUUUAAUUGAAAAAAUUGUUAAAUAAUCUAAAAACAAAAUGUGCAGCCACAACAAUGAAAUAAUUAAUUUUCCUCCCAUUAGUUAGAAAACAUCAUCGGGAAGUAUUGUAAAUGAAUUAUUUUUAUGCUCGACAUGCAUGAAGAGAAAUGUAAUUAUUUUAAUUUUCUUACAAUUAGUUUUAAAUUACUUGCACUGGAAUUGACUAAACUCACCACUAUUAUGUAACUGCUGUUGAAAUUCCUCGCAAAAUAUCGCAGCUUCGCAAGAAUCGCACGGUGCCUGUGCCCAGUUCUUCAAGACCGCGAAAUCUGCUUGUUUUCGCACCGUCAUCACUCAAUUCCGCUCGCCAGCCAAGACAAGUGCUACAAACAAAGCUAAAAUCCAAUUUCCAAGCAAAACAACCGAAAAUCUCACCUAAAUCAGCAGCAAAAGCCCAAGUUGUUGACAUUUGUGUAGUGAAAGUGCAAGUGACCUUCGCCAUGCACCAGUCACGUGACUCCAAGCUCGAAUCCCAUUCGCCAGCCUGCAAAGUUCCAGCCAACCAGAAACGCGACUCUCGCAAGCUGAGAGACAACAACAGACACACAGCUGGCCACGUAAACAAACAAAGGAGCAUGGCCAUCAGACACUCCAAGUCCAGUAACUCCAGCCGAGGCCGUGGCCUCUGGCCGCCGCACACACAAGACCUUCAACAAAUCCUUCUAUCGUCCAAAAAGUAAAAGUGUAAUUAAUUGUAAAUUAAAAUUACAUUCCAGUUGCAAUCAAAACCAGAAUGUAAAAGGAAAAAUAUUUCAUGUUGUCACAGGAAAAUUUUUGAAAUUUGACAAGGUUCAAAGAUUCACAUGUAACGCUAAAAUUAAAAAUUUACUGUAAUCUAAAAAAAAUUAAAAUUAAUCUCAAAAUGUAAAAAUUUAGCAAAACCACAGCAAAUGAUACCGCUCGAAACAAAUAAUAGGUUAAGAUAAUUCCAACUUGUUAUUCAUUUUGCCUGAAUUCACAGUUGCCAAAAACACACCUGAACACCAAUUCCAACCUCUGAGAAGCCAAGCAGAGAUGACCUAUCUCUCGCAAACACCAACUGCCUGCCUUGGCCCAGCGCAACCACGAGCAGUACGACACCAGAGGCGCCCUGCCAAGCCCCAAACCACCACACCGGACACCAAGCCACCACCAGUCUUCAGCUUGAUGGACGCGAGGGCGCGUCCAAGUUGAAGGGGGGGCAGUCUGUGGUGACACACACUCGCGAAAUAUUGUCGAACAGAAUAAUAAAUAUUUGUAUCAAUUAUUGUCUCUGCGAGUAAGGUUAGCCCAUGGCCAUAGCUUUUCAUAUAAAGGAAACUUAACUUCAUUCCGAGCAAGCAACGCGCGCGCUUUUCCGAAUCUCCCGCCGACCUUUCCCUGAUGGCGUGGACCCUUCAGCCAACCUGAGAAGACCGAUCGGCGCGCGCCACCUCAGGGCCCAAUCAGACCCACGGUCGAGCCUCGAAGCCGGCUCUCCGUGCCUGAGAGCCUCAGACGAGCGACGCCCGAAACGCAGACAACACCCUGUCCUAUCUUCAGCCCAUUCGGUUAAUGGCGACCACGUUUUACUAAAUUCCUAAUUGACCGGUAAUUAUCGCUUUUCCUCCGUUUCCUCAACUUCCUAAGUUCAGACUAGCUUUUCCGAAUCCUAUUUUGGCCAUCUUUUGUAUUUUGUUCUCUCUAUAUAUAUUUAAUAAUAACUUUAACUUUUAUCUUUAACUUUAA